AUUCCAUAUUACACUUAUCAAUAUUACACUUAGCAAGACAAAUCACACUUCAUUUCUUCCUCACACUUCACUCUCGGCUCUCACUCAAUCUCUCUCUAUACUCUCUUUUCCUCCAUUGAUGUUCAUUGAAGAAAGCUUAGAGAAGCUUCAUCAAACACUACUAUGAGAUAAUACACCAUCCAAUCCAAUCAAAUACUAUCAUAUCUCAUCAAAUUCAAGAAGCUAGAGCUAAGAUCAAAGUUGGAGCAAAGUCUUGAUCACCUUUUAGAUCCUUGAGCUUUGUGACCAGGGGGAUUAGCGCUGCUUUCCCAAGACAGGUUUAUAAGUGAUUAUGAUCUUCAGGCUUUGCCUAACCAGGUUGGCUGGCUGGUGCUGACGGGACGGAGCUGAGGCUAGAGUUAAAAUUCAUAUGUUAGACUUCCGCUGUAGCAAUUACUCUUAUACAUCUUUUGUUUUCUCAACUUAAGAUGACUUCAUGUCGAGCUUAAAUUUGAAAUUCUAGUUUUAUGCUAAUGAAUGUUGGUUGUCAGAAACAUGAAACAAAACUUGUGAUCCAAAGGGGCAUAGCCCGACUUUCUAUCCUAUUUUGGGUUUUAACGAGGUA